rnacentral:lncRNA from 1 species
UUUUUUUUUUGGUAAUCUAAUUUGGUUGAUUAAUAAAGUAACCCACUGUAUUUCUCAAACCAAUGUAAAUCAUGUGCCGACAUAAAGCAACAAAUAACAAUGAGCCAUUAAAGCGUAAUAAUUAGUAUCAAUUUUUAAACUGCUAGAUUCUAGUUAAAGGUUUUGCUGUUUUUUUUUUUUUUAAUGUAAAAUAUGCUGUACUCCUUUAUGAAUUGUAAAUAAAUCAAAGAGAAACACUCGAAUUAAUAACCAAAUUUGUUUUUAUUUUGAAGGAGAAGUUUUAAUUGUCCCUAGAAAAAAAAUCUAAAACUCGGAAAGCAACUUAAUGAGCCAAAUAAAA